rnacentral:lncRNA from 10 species
UAAUGAGACAGUAUCUGGCUAUGUUGCCCAGGCUGGAGUGCCGAGGCGUGAUCUCUACUCACUGCAAUCUCCACCUCCCGGGCUCAAGGGAUCCUCCCACCUCAGCCUCUAUUGUAGCUGGGACCACAGGUGCACGCCACCAUGCCAGGCUAAUUUUUUUUUUUUUUUUUCAUUUUUGGUAAAGAUGGGGUUUCACCAUGUUGCCCAGGCUGGUCUCGAACUCCUGAGCUCAAGCUAUCUGCCUGCAGCUUCCCAAAGUGUUGGGAUUACAGGCGUGAGCCACUGCACCUGAGCCUUUUUUUCCUUUUUAAAAGAAACCAACCAUCUUUAAGCGGUUUUUAAGAUUUUUACUGUUUUUUGUUUUUAGAGAAACAGGUCUUGCUAUGUUGUCCGAGCUGUUCUUGAACUCUUGGGCUCAAGUGAUCCUUUCACUUCAGCCUCCCAAGUAGCUGGGCCUACAGGGGAACAUCACCAUGCCUGGCUUAUUAAUUUCACUUUAAAAGUCACAUAUAUGACAGUUUUCAUCCAACAGGGCUUUUUCUCCCUGACCAAUCCAUUAAUAAGGUAACUAUCCAAUCAUUAAAAAAAAAUUCUUUUUCUAAAUUAUCCAAUACUUUAUUAAGCAAAAUAAAAUAAUAUUUAACUUUUUAGAUCCCAGGCUUCAACAUUAUUUGCUAUUCAAUGAAAAUAAAUAAAAUGUAGUGGUUUUCACAUUUGUUACCACAGAUUUCAAAAUAAUAAUCUACAUUCCUAAAAACUAUUUACAUAUACAAACAAAAAAGAACAUAAUUAAGCUGGAGUUUUUCCAUGUCAUUGUCUUUGGGGUCCAAGCAGCAGAACCAUGAUGUAGGUAAGAGAGUACUACGGCCGAUUGCCAGUGAUGUGAUUCAAGCUCAAGAACAAAAAGUUGAGCUGUGGGUAUAUUAGCUUGACUCAUAAAAAGGAUGCUAACCAAAGGGUCUCCAUCUUUAGAGACCAAACAAGGGCAAAUGUGCUAUUGGUGCAAAAGUAAUUGUGGUUUUGCCUUUUUUAAAAAAAAUGGUAAUUACUUUUGCACCAACCUAAUAAAAUGGCAAUAGUAACGAUAUGGUUAUUUGUAAAACAGUACUCUCCUACACAUUUCAAAAGAGCCUAAGGACACUCAUUGUUCAUGUCUUUGAGAACAAAAUAGGCUGCUCAUUUAUUUGGAAUGGUUCUUGAUGGAGGAUAUUCUGGAAGGCGGGAAGAUCUUUCCUUCCUGGGCCAUCUAUCUCUCUAGGGGGUUAAACUUUGAAUUGUAUCUCAUUUAUUCUUCUCAGUGUGACUCAAACCUAGUUUCAGAGGUUAGAGACUCUACAUCUUUCAAACACAAUUCCUGUUGUAGAAUUACUCAGUAGAUAGGAACUCUUACCUGUUCCCAACUCCGUUUCAAAAUUCAGCCAAGAUUCCUUGAUAUGGGAUUUCUUUCUAUAUUUUCUGAAAUGCAGUGCCACUUAGAACACUUAUUUACUAUUAUAAUAUACAAUAAAAUGUAAUUUAAAAAACAACUUUGUAAAAUAAGAUAUUUGUAAGAGCAGUGGUUUUUUUUAUAUUUGGUCAUGUUGUGUGGGGCAAAUACAGCUCAGCUUUGGCUUUACUAUAUUCCUUUUUUAAUAAUAAAAAAGCAAAAUCAUAUGAAAAUUUUCUUACAUAUAGAUCUAUUUGUAAAAGCAAAAGAAAAUUUAUUUCAAGUGUGUAAGGAAAGCGGAAAUUACUCAAUUGGUUAUACAUAUACUUUUGGAUAUUUCAAUUUCUGUAACGACUGACAUCCAGUGAAGCCUUCUUUCAAUUUUCUAACAUUAAUACAAAAGUCAUCAAAAUGUAUAAAUGUAAGAUGCUUCUAAAAACAACUGUCACAUUUAACGUUUUGAUUUAGUAAUCAGGCCAUGAUUUUUUCGAUUCUAAUUUGUUUCUGUACUUUCUCUUUAAUGGGGGAGGGGGUGGGCUUCUAAGUCUUCCUCUUGAGUCUUUGUACAAUAAAGUGAGCUAUUUGCUUCUAUUUAGCAAAGCUGGAUGGGGCAUAUCUCUGCAUUUGAUUGGUUGGUUUUUAAGGGAUUACUCCUCUGGAAAGACACUGUCUCAUAUUGCAUUGCUAGCAGCGUGGUCUUAACUGUGGUUAAACUUUUAAAUUGAAAAUGAACAUUUACCAUCAAAGAGAACACAAACUUCAGGACUCCUAUGUUACACAGAUCAUACACACCAUAUUGACCUGUUUUGAUAAGAGUUCUGUUUGAAUACAAUCCUAAACACCAUAUCCAGAAAUAACAACUGUCUCAAUGGCAUAAAUAGGAAAUUUGGGGUUCCUCAUGUAUUACAAAGAAGCCAAUAAAACUUAGAAUAAAUUCCAACUAUACAAAUAGGCUUCAAUAAGAUUAACAAAAUCUGAGGAUGACAGGCAAGUCAACAAGUUAAAUAAAUUAUACUAUUUAUACCCAGAUAAAAUAAAACAAUGACUUCUAACUUUUAUGGUGCAUUUCCCACCUAAUCAGAGUAAACAUCAGACUUCAAAUUCCAUUUAUCAUUUUAUCUGAAAGAAUUUACUGAGUAAAAUCCUUAGUUGCAGGGCUUUACACUUGCAAUCCAUCAGGUUGCAAUAUUAAAGUUACUACAGCUUCUUCCCCAGUGUAAGCAUUCUGUAUGUGUUUUAUUUACAUUGUCACUUUUUAUUUCCUCCUCAACUUCGUAUGUCUAAGAAUGAAACUGGAUUGCUAUUAUGCAACAGUAUUUUAACUUUGCAACAUACAUACUGGCUUAUCUCUCCUUUGAACUCCUGUUCCUGAAAAAUAAACAUAUGUAUCCAGAAAAACUACCUUGAGGCGUGUGGGGAAGAGUGCAGACAUGUAGAAACAAACACUAAAAUACAGUCGUGUGGAAAGGUAAGGAUGUAUCUGUCCUCGUUGACAACAAUCCCCGUGGUUUAUUAACAGCCACAGGCAGCCAACUUAGUGCCGUAAGUCGGUAACCCAGUGGGCAUCGGGGCUUUAAGGUCUCUUAAAACUUAAUGUGAUUCAAAAAUACCCAAGGCAACCACGCCGAAAAACCAGGAGAAAGGGCUCCAGUUAGAGCCUCCUUGGCAACCCAAACCGAACCGAAUGACUCAGGUGGACGAUUAGAAUAAACCGUGCGCCGUUCUCUUUCACUAGGUCUAUAAAGCCCAGAAAUUAUGUUUGGUCCAGAAAACCAGGAGUUAUGAGCACCUUCCUUUUCCACCUUUUAAUAUUCUACAUAUCUAGCAACGGUUCUUAAUCCAUGGUCUUCAUUCAUUUAUUGCCUAAACAAGAUCUUGGGUGUCUCUUGGUGAUCACUUCUUCCAAGCUGACCUAAUAUGACAGCAAAGUGAAAAGCCUCUUCGUGGGAAGGGUCGCGACCGCGCGGCCUUUCAUCUGCCCUCCCGCUGGG